GUAACAGGCUGCCUCCUGGGAGGGCGGGGUCCUGGGCGGGGCCUGGCAUGACUGACGGCUGGGGCGGGACCGCGGGCCCGAGCCCGGCGCACUGGUGACUAAAUCGGAUCACCACACGGCAAACGUAUUGUCGAGAAAGACGUCACGUAAUGGUCAAGUCCUUGCUCCUAUUUAGAACGUCCUAUGCUCUUGUUAAACAGAUAAGAGUUCUUCUACCGAGUUCUAAAAGAAGUUUGGACAACGUGGCCACAGUAUUUGGUGAGAACCCCUGGUGCCCAACAUCCGGGCCAUGGGGAGGCUGCGCCGUGUCGGCCUGGGUCCGUCCCUUUCUCCUGCGGAUGAAUUCAGCUGUUCCCUUCAUCCUCGCUAAGCGGCCUCGUUCUCCUGUGAACUGGGAUCCUCUGCCAGUGCAUCGCCUUCCCGCAGACGGGCGUCCUCCUGCGCCCAAGCCGGGACUAAGUCCCAGACGCAGACUGACAAAUUCCAGAUUCACACCCCAAACGCCCAGACAUUCCCAGCUCCAAACUGCAGUGUGCCUGUCUAUCUCUCGAGGGCGCGAACUCUCUUUCUUUGAGUGCACAUUUUUGAAAAUUCCCUCUAAUAAAUCC
rnacentral:lncRNA from 1 species